rnacentral:rRNA from 1 species
AAACACAGCCAUAUCACUCUGCAGCCCAAGACCGGUUACUCACUAAAGCUAAGCAGGGCUGAGCCUGGUUAGUACCUGGAUGGGAGACCACUAGGGAACACUAGGUUGCUGUUGGAA